ACGGCCAGGACUACAGGGGUAUCUAAUCCCUUUCGCUCCCCUGGCUUUCGUCCAUGAGCGUCAGUAAUGGCCCAGCAGAGCGCCUUCGCCACUGGUGUUCUUUCCCGAUAUCUACGCAUUUCACCGCUACACCGGGAAUUCCCUCUGCCCCUACCAUACUCAAGCCUUUCAGUUUCCACUGCCAUGAUGGAGUUAAGCUCCACGCUUUAACAGCAGACUUGAAAAGCCGCCUGCGGACGCUUUACGCCCAAUAAUUCCGGAUAACGCUUGCCACUCCCGUAUUACCGCGGCUGCUGACACGGAAUUAGCCGUGGCUUAUUCCUCAAGUACCGUCAUAUCUUCUUCCUUGAGAAAAGAGGUUUACAGCCCAGAGGCCUUCGUCCCUCACGCGGCGUUGCUCCGUCAGGCUUUCGCCCAUUGCG
rnacentral:rRNA from 1 species